rnacentral:lncRNA from 1 species
UGUGGAAUUAAUUUUCGAUACAUAUUCUCAAAGAGUUGAGAAUUAGAGAUAUGUAUUUAAUUCUUAAAUACUUUCAGUCAUAGGAUCAUCAUGAAGAUGGUGAUCGAUUCGGAUAAACUGGGAUACAGAUCACUUCCUUUGGAUAGAUGGAUCUUUAGUCUACAAUAUAGAGAUACUGGAUGAGAAGUGCAGGUAGUUGUUAGAGAAUAACUAGUACUGAGCAUGAUCAUAUGAGAGAUCACUUG